GACGUAGGGCGCGAGCGUUGUCCGGAUUUAUUGGGCGUAAAGAGCUCGUAGGCGGCUUGUCGCGUCGACUGUGAAAACCCGCGGCUCAACCGCGGGCCUGCAGCCGAUACGGGCAGGCUGGAGUUCGGUAGGGGAGACUGGAUCCUGGUGUAGCGGUGAAAUGCGUAGAUAUCUGGAGGAACACCGGUGGCGAAGGCGGCAUCCUGGACCGACACUGACGCUGAGGCGCGAAAGCUAGGGUAGCAAACGGGG
rnacentral:rRNA from 1 species